GACGAACGCUGGCGGCGUGCUUAACACAUGCAAGUCGAACGGAAAGGCCCUGCUUUUGUGGGGUGCUCGAGUGGCGAACGGGUGAGUAACACGUGAGUAACCUGCCCUUUACUUUGGGAUAACUUCAGGAAACUGGGGCUAAUACCGGAUAGGAGCUCCUGCUGCCUGGUGGGGGUUGGAAAUUUUCGGCGGUUGGGGAUGGACUCGCGGCUUAUCAGCUUGUUGGGGGGGUAGUGGCUUACCAAGGCUUUGACGGGUAGCCGGCCUGAGAGGGUGACCGGCCACAUUGGGACUGAGAUACGGCCCAGACUCCUACGGGAGGCAGCAGUGGGGAAUAUUGCACAAUGGGCGGAAGCCUGAUGCAGCAACGCCGCGUGCGGGAUGACGGCCUUCGGGUUGUAAACCGCUUUCGCCUGUGACGAAGCGUGAGUGACGGUAAUGGGUAAAGAAGCACCGGCUAACUACGUG
rnacentral:rRNA from 1 species